CAACUACUCACUCUGUCCCAAAUUUCUUGUCUUAGAUUUGUCUAGAUAUGGAUGUAUCUAAUACUAAAAUGUGACUUGAUACAUCCGUAUCUAGACAAAUCUAAGACAAGAAUUUGGGGACGGAGGGAGUACUUU
rnacentral:pre_miRNA from 1 species